GAUGUGGUGACCUUCUACGAUGUAGCUGUGAGCUUCUCCCAGGAGGAGUGGCCAUACCUGGAUGCCUCUCAGAGGGAGCUCUACAGAGAUGUGAUGCUGGAGAUCUACCAGCACCUGCAGGCUAUAGAAUGCAGACCACCAGUUCAGGAUUUGGCCUUUCAGCAAUUUCCUUUUAGGACGAAAUCUCCAAAGAGGGGUGAAAUGGGACGCAGCAAACCCCAGUGGGAUGGGGGUAUUCCUGUGUUGUG